rnacentral:rRNA from 1 species
AUAUUGGACAAUGGGGGAAACCCUGAUCCAGCAAUGCCGCGUGUGUGAAGAAGGCCUUCGGGUUGUAAAGCACUUUCAGUGGGGAAGAACGGGUUCAAGGCUAAUAUCCUUGAGCCUUGACAUUACCUACAGAAGAAGCACCGGCAAACUCUGUGCCAGCAGCCGCGGUAAUACAGAGGGUGCAAGCGUUAAUCGGAAUUACUGGGCGUAAAGCGCGCGUAGGUGGAUAUUUAAGUCGGAAGUGAAAGCCCUGGGCUUAACCUGGGAAUUGCCUCCGAUACUGGAUAUCUAGAGUAUGGUAGAGGAUAGUGGAAUUUCCGGUGUAGCGGUGAAAUGCGUAGAUAUCGGAAGGAACAUCAGUGGCGAAAGCGGCUAUCUGGACCAAUACUGACACUGAGGUGCGAAAGCGUGGGGAGCAAACAGG